rnacentral:lncRNA from 1 species
UCCGGACCGAACCGAUCCGGAUUAAGGGGCCGGAGGCGGGUCCUGGGCACCAGCGGUUCCGACCCACCCCGGCCCUCCGCGCCGCACCCGAGUGGCCCCCAGCCGAGCGGGCCCCCACCUCCUGGCCCGGCCUGGGCCCUUCUGCGCCUCCCUUGGCCUUUGUCCAGCGCCAGGAGGCCGGUCCCGCGCCCGCGUCGGGCGCCUGGCUCUGUACGCGAGCCCGGGGAUCUGCGGCCUUCGUGCCCCCCCUCCCCCGCCCGCCCUUUCGUGGAGCCCGGCGCAGGCGGCUGCUGCCCGGGCGGGGGGUUGCGGCGCUCAGGGGAGGCCCCGGCUCCGCCCCGGGCCUGCCCAGGGGGAGAGCGGAGCGGCCCGCAGCCGGGUCGGGUCGGGGCCCCUCCCGGGAGGAGCGUGGAGCGGCGGCGGCGGCAGUAGAAAUAAUGGAAGAAUUGCAUAGCCUGGACCCACGACGGCAGGAAUUAUUAGAGGCCAGGUUUACUGGAGUAGGUGUUAGUAAGGUGAGUAAAAUGAUGAUAAUGAACACUAUUCAUAUUCUAG